UGAGAGAGGUCAAACAAGAAUAUAAAAAGCCAGAAAACAUUGUGCUGACACUCCAGGCCAUCUACUAUGAAAUUGGUUUCAUUGUAUGCGCUUCCCUGGGAGUGCUGUUUGUUCUGUUUAUGCCUCUUGUGGGGCUUUGCUUCUGCAUGUGUCGUUGCUGUGACAACUGCGGAGGAGAGAUGCACCAGAGACAGAAGAAGAAUGCUGACUGCCGGAGAGGCUGCUUUGUAACAUUGCUCUUUGUGACGUCUCUCAU